rnacentral:rRNA from 1 species
UAGGGAAUCUUCCGCAAUGGGCGAAAGCCUGACGGAGCAACGCCGCGUGAGUGAUGAAGGUCUUCGGAUCGUAAAACUCUGUUAUUAGGGAAGAACAAAUGUGUAAGUAACUAUGCACGUCUUGACGGUACCUAAUCAGAAAGCCACGGCUAACUACGUGCCAGCAGCCGCGGUAAUACGUAGGUGGCAAGCGUUAUCCGGAAUUAUUGGGCGUAAAGCGCGCGUAGGCGGUUUUUUAAGUCUGAUGUGAAAGCCCACGGCUCAACCGUGGAGGGUCAUUGGAAACUGGCAAACUUGCGUGCAGAAGAGGAAAGUGGAAUUCCAUGUGUAGCGGUGAAAUGCGCAGAGAUAUGGAGGAACACCAGUGGCGAAGGCGACUUUCUGGUCUGUAACUGACGCUGAUGUGCGAAAGCGUGGGGAUCAAACAGG